rnacentral:lncRNA from 1 species
CUUAAUGCAAAAGGUGGAUUUGGCUGAGACCACUUCAAGGCAAUCCAAUGAAUGGAUGUUUUGGAAAGAGGUUUGCUUUCUGGCCUGUCUCAACAAUUUAAGCGUGCUUUGUGCUGUGUGCUGAGGCCCUGAGAGACAUCCUUUAUGGUUGUGCAGAAGGCUGAACAGAAAGGCAGAGCCUUUGCACGGCAAGGAGGAUGAAGAGAUGGGGGAGUCCAGGCAGCAGAAAUAGAACAUAUGUGAGGCUCUGUCCCCAGGCUCUGAAGAUCGGAGUAAUUCUCUGCAAAAGGAGUUGGGACCUCAGUCAUGAUUAGGCAAGGACUAGAAACUUCCACAAGGGCAAGAAUGCAAAGGGCUUCAUCCAAGGGGAAACUGGGAGACAUGAACUAUUUUAUGUUGUUUUACCUCUAUGCAGAGCAACACUUCACUCAAUGAGUUUUUACAAAGAAAACUUACAACGCGGGGCCUCUGUUGGUGAAUGGAGUCAAGGUGGAAGAUGAUGGAGGCAGGUUACAUUUAUGCACUCUCUUGCUUUGGUCUGGAAUGUGCUGCUUAAGCAGACAACGCUAUGAAGAUUUUAAUGGCCUUUUAAAGAGAAGCCAGAUUUUCCCUCUCACUUUUUUAGUUCUUUCCUUAAUUAUUCCCACAACAUAUAUAUACGUUCAUCAUUUCUGCUUAACAAG